rnacentral:rRNA from 1 species
UGAGGAAUAUUGGUCAAUGGGCGGGAGCCUGAACCAGCCAAGUCGCGUGAGGGACGACGGCCCUACGGGUUGUAAACCUCUUUUGCCGGGGAGCAGGGAGCGCCACGCGUGGUGCUUUUGAGAGUACCCGGAGAAAAAGCAUCGGCUAACUCCGUGCCAGCAGCCGCGGUAAUACGGAGGAUGCGAGCGUUAUCCGGAUUUAUUGGGUUUAAAGGGUGCGUAGGCGGGAUGUCAAGUCGGCGGUAAAAAUUUCGGGGCCCAACCCCGUCGUGCCGUCGAAACUGGCGUCCUAGAGUGGGCGAGAAGUACGCGGAAUGCGUGGUGUAGCGGUGAAAUGCAUAGAUAUCACGCAGAACUCCGAUUGCGAAGGCAGCGUACCGGCGCCCAACUGACGCUGAAGCACGAAGGCGUGGGUAUCGAACAGGAUUAGAUACC